GAUUCUGGCUCAGAUUGAACGCUGGCGGCAUGCUUUACACAUGCAAGUCGAACGGUAACAGGUCUUCGGAUGCUGACGAGUGGCGAACGGGUGAGUAAUGUAUCGGAACGUGCCCAGUAGUGGGGGAUAACUACUCGAAAGAGUGGCUAAUACCGCAUGAGAACUGAGGUUGAAAGCGGGGGACCUUCGGGCCUCGCGCUACUGGAGCGGCCGAUAUCAGAUUAGGUAGUUGGUGGGGUAAAGGCCUACCAAGCCGACGAUCUGUAGCUGGUCUGAGAGGACGACCAGCCACACUGGGACUGAGACACGGCCCAGACUCCUACGGGAGGCAGCAGUGGGGAAUUUUGGACAAUGGACGCAAGUCUGAUCCAGCAAUGCCGCGUGCAGGACGAAGGCCUUCGGGUUGUAAACUGCUUUUGUACAGAACGAAAAGGCUCUGGUUAAUACCUGGGGCUCAUGACGGUACUGUAAGAAUAAGCACCGGCUAACUACGUG
rnacentral:rRNA from 1 species